rnacentral:rRNA from 1 species
UACGGGGGGAGCAAGCGUUGUUCGGAUUUACUGGGCGUAAAGGGCGCGUAGGCGGCCACCGCAAGUCAACUGUGAAAUCUCCGGGCUUAACCCGGAAAGGUCAGCCGAUACUGCGGGGCUAGAGUGCAGAAGGGGCAACUGGAAUUCUCGGUGUAGCGGUGAAAUGCGUAGAUAUCGAGAGGAACACCUGCGGCGAAGGCGGGUUGCUGGGCCGACACUGACGCUGAUGCGCGAAAGCCAGGGGAGCGAACGGG